rnacentral:lncRNA from 1 species
GUAUAAUUUAAGAGGAAAUAGGAAUAUAUGCAAACCACGAAUGCUCUCACACCUGAACAUCAUCAGAAGUGCUAUAAACGUUUCACAUUUCACAUUGGUAAUUCAUCCUGUGCUGCAUUAGCAGAGAUAUUACAUAUGAAAUAUCAGUAGAAGCUAUAUCAACAAUGGUUGUUUUCCUUUCCUGCCAACUCUUCCACAAAGAAGUUUUGCGACAGAGCAUCAGCCACAAGUAUUUGAUGCGAGGUCCAUGUCUUCCAUACACCAGCAAACUUGUGAAGACCUUAUUAUAUAACUUUAUCAGACAAGAAAAGCCACCUCCUCCAGGGGCCCAUGUUUUCCCUCAGCAGUCGGAUGGGGGAGGACUGCUUUAUGGACUUGCAUCAGGAGUAGCAAGACUCUGGACUGUCUUCACACUAGGUGGUGUGGGCAGCAAAGCGGCUGCCUCUCCAGAGCUUUCUUCCCCUCUGGCCAACCAGAGUCUCCUGCUUCUGCUGGUGUUGGCCAAUCUGA